rnacentral:tRNA from 1 species
UCCUAAAUAGCUCAGUUGGGAGAGCGUUGGGCUAUAGACCAAAAAGUCCCUGGUUCGUUCCCGGGUUCCGGCA